rnacentral:rRNA from 1 species
GGGUUGUAAACUUCUUUUAUAUUAGAAUAAAGUGCAGUAUGUAUACUGUUUUGUAUGUAUAAUAUGAAUAAGGAUCGGCUAACUCCGUGCCAGCAGCCGCGGUAAUACGGAGGAUCCGAGCGUUAUCCGGAUUUAUUGGGUUUAAAGGGAGCGUAGGUGGGCUGGUAAGUCAGUUGUGAAAGUUUGCGGCUCAACCGUAAAAUUGCAGUUGAUACUGUCAGUCUUGAGUACAGCAGAGGUGGGCGGAAUUCGUGGUGUAGCGGUGAAAUGCUUAGAUAUCGCGAAGAACUCCGAUUGCGAAGGCAGCUCACUGGACUGCAACUGACACUGAUGCUCGAAAGUGUGGGUAUCAAACAGGAUUAGAUACCCUGGUAGUCCACACAGUAAA